UACGUAGGGGGCUAGCGUUGUCCGGAAUUACUGGGCGUAAAGGGCUCGUAGGCGGCCAACUAAGUCAGACGUGAAAUCCCUCAGCUUAACUGGGGAACUGCGUCUGAUACUGGAUGGCUUGGAUUUGGGAGAGGGAUGUGGAAUUCCAGGUGUAGCGGUGAAAUGCGUAGAUAUCUGGAGGAACACCGGUGGCGAAGGCGGCAUCCUGGACCAAUAUUGACGCUGAGGAGCGAAAGCCAGGGGAGCAAACAGG
rnacentral:rRNA from 1 species